AGAGCGAACGCUGGCGGCAGGCCUAACACAUGCAAGUCGGGCGCCCGUAGCAAUACGGGAGCGGCAGACGGGAUAGUAACACGUGGGAACGCGCCCUUCGGUUCGGAAUAACUCAGGGAAACUUGAGCUAAAUACCGGAUACGCCCUUACGGGGAAAGAUUUAUUGCCGAAGGAACGGCCCGCGUCCGAUUAGCUAGUUGGUGAGGUAAUGGCUCACCAAGGCGACGAUCGGUAGCUGGUCUGAGAGGAUGACCAGCAUCACUGGGACUGAGACACGGCCCAGACUCCUACGGGAGGCAGCAGUGGGGAAUAUUGGACAAUGGGCGCAAGCCUGAUCCAGCCAUGCCGCGUGGAUGAUGAAGGCCUUAGGGUUGUAAAGUCCUUUUAACGGGGAGAUAAUGACGGUACCGUAGAAUAAGCCCCGGCUAACUUCGCGCCAGCAGCCGC
rnacentral:rRNA from 1 species